rnacentral:rRNA from 1 species
CAUGCAGUCGAGCGGACAGAUGGGAGCUUGCUCCCUGAUGUUAGCGGCGGACGGGUGAGUAACACGUGGGUAACCUGCCUGUAAGACUGGGAUAACUCCGGGAAACCGGGGCUAAUACCGGAUGGUUGUUUGAACCGCAUGGUUCAAACAUAAAAGGUGGCUUCGGCUACCACUUACAGAUGGACCCGCGGCGCAUUAGCUAGUUGGUGAGGUAACGGCUCACCAAGGCAACGAUGCGUAGCCGACCUGAGAGGGUGAUCGGCCACACUGGGACUGAGACACGGCCCAGACUCCUACGGGAGGCAGCAGUAGGGAAUCUUCCGCAAUGGAACGAAAGUCUGACGGAGCAACGCCGCGUGAGUGAUGAAGGUUUUCGGAUCGUAAAGCUCUGUUGUUAGGGAAGAACAAGUACCGUUCGAAUAGGGCGGUACCUUGACGGUACCUAACCAGAAAGCCACGGCUAACUACGUGCCAGCAGCCGCGGUAAUACGUAGGUGGCAAGCGUUGUCCGGAAUUAUUGGGCGUAAAGGGCUCGCAGGCGGUUUCUUAAGUCUGAUGUGAAAGCCCCCGGCUCAACCGGGGAGGGUCAUUGGAAACUGGGGAACUUGAGUGCAGAAGAGGAGAGUGGAAUUCCACGUGUAGCGGUGAAAUGCGUAGAGAUGUGGAGGAACACCAGUGGCGAAGGCGACUCUCUGGUCUGUAACUGACGCUGAGGAGCGAAAGCGUGGGGAGCGAACAGGAUUAGAUACCCUGGUAGUCCACGCCGUAAACGAUGAGUGCUAAGUGUUAGGGGGUUUCCGCCCCUUAGUGCUGCAGCUAACGCAUUAAGCACUCCGCCUGGGGAGUACGGUCGCAAGACUGAAACUCAAAGGAAUUGACGGGGGCCCGCACAAGCGGUGGAGCAUGUGGUUUAAUUCGAAGCAACGCGAAGAACCUUACCAGGUCUUGACAUCCUCUGACAAUCCUAGAGAUAGGACGUCCCCUUCGGGGGCAGAGUGACAGGUGGUGCAUGGUUGUCGUCAGCUCGUGUCGUGAGAUGUUGGGUUAAGUCCCGCAACGAGCGCAACCCUUGAUCUUAGUUGCCAGCAUUCAGUUGGGCACUCUAAGGUGACUGCCGGUGACAAACCGGAGGAAGGUGGGGAUGACGUCAAAUCAUCAUGCCCCUUAUGACCUGGGCUACACACGUGCUACAAUGGACAGAACAAAGGGCAGCGAAACCGCGAGGUUAAGCCAAUCCCACAAAUCUGUUCUCAGUUCGGAUCGCAGUCUGCAACUCGACUGCGUGAAGCUGGAAUCGCUAGUAAUCGCGGAU